GAUGAACGCUAGCUACAGGCUUAACACAUGCAAGUCGAGGGGCAGCAUGGUCUUAGCUUGCUAAGGCCGAUGGCGACCGGCGCACGGGUGAGUAACACGUAUCCAACCUGCCGUCUACUCUUGGACAGCCUUCUGAAAGGAAGAUUAAUACAAGAUGGCAUCAUGAGUCCGCAUGUUCACAUGAUUAAAGGUAUUCCGGUAGACGAUGGGGAUGCGUUCCAUUAGAUAGUAGGCGGGGUAACGGCCCACCUAGUCUUCGAUGGAUAGGGGUUCUGAGAGGAAGGUCCCCCACAUUGGAACUGAGACACGGUCCAAACUCCUACGGGAGGCAGCAGUGAGGAAUAUUGGUCAAUGGGCGCAGGCCUGAACCAGCCAAGUAGUGUGAAGGAUGACUGCCCUAUGGGUUGUAAACUUCUUUUAUAAAGGAAUAAAGUCGGGUAUGUAUACCCGUUUGCAUGUACUUUAUGAAUAAGGAUCGGCUAACUCCGUGCCAGCAGCCGCGGUAAUACGGAGGAUCCGAGCGUUAUCCGGAUUUAUUGGGUUUAAAGGGAGCGUAGAUGGAUGUUUAAGUCAGUUGUGAAAGUUUGCGGCUCAACCGUAAAAUUGCAGUUGAUACUGGAUAUCUUGAGUGCAGUUGAGGCAGGCGGAAUUCGUGGUGUAGCGGUGAAAUGCUUAGAUAUCACGAAGAACUCCGAUUGCGAAGGCAGCCUGCUAAGCUGCAACUGACAUUGAGGCUCGAAAGUGUGGGUAUCAA
rnacentral:rRNA from 1 species